UCUCAAACACGAGUUGAAACAGCGUUCGACUCCAUCUUCAGUGAGAGAUUUGGCCUCCUUUUCAUCCGCACCUUUGUCAUCGGAUUUCGGCCACAAAGGGGCAACAUCCAUGCAGAGUUGGGGCUCCAGUUCAACAACGUGGCGUCACCCGAUCAAAUCCCACAGGCUGAUGCUGUUGCAGACACCUUAAUAAGUGCUCUAAAUAACCCCAACAACACCUUCGGCCUCGCUGUUGAUCCCACCUCCAUCCAAGUGAUUCGCUCAACAACUGGCGGGUCAACAACAACUACCGGGCCGACGACAAGUGGAGGCACCGCAGCUCCCUCACCGGUUGUGGUUCUCGCAGCAACCUUGGAAGAAGCAUUUGUAGAAGAACUCAACAAUCGCAGCAGCGCAC